rnacentral:rRNA from 1 species
GAUGAACGCUAGCGGCAGGCUUAACACAUGCAAGUCGAGGGGCAGCGGGGUGUAGCAAUACACUGCCGGCGACCGGCGCACGGGUGCGUAACGCGUAUGCAACCUACCCAUAACAGGGGCAUAACACUGAGAAAUUGGUACUAAUUCCCCAUAACAUUCGAAGAGGCAUCUCUUUGGGUUGAAAACUCCGGUGGUUAUGGAUGGGCAUGCGUUGUAUUAGCUAGUUGGG